GUGUUCAAAAUCGAGCAAUGUAAUUAGCAGGUUGCAUCAUGCCCCUCGAUUAUAAAUUACAAUGGGCACAAAGAGAGUGGACAGAGGAGCAGGGAUUAGAUGGGUAAUUCAAUCCCGGUGACCGGGAGGGGGCGCAGGGCCAGGAGCUGCCACCUGGCCACUCAAGACCCUAGUAGCCCCUGCCUACCAUGUCACGGGGCAGUGACAAGGCCUGCUCACUGCCUGCUUUGUGUGGCCUGGGAUAAUGAUUUACAAACUUGAGGAAUCAGGAGGUGCGAAAAGAAGAUGACCCUCUUAACCCAGCCAUUGUCUACCUGCUGCCGGAAUACCCAGCCCCCCACAGCCCAGCGCACCUGUGCACACGGAUGCGUUUUGAGGAUGGUCCAGGUGACCACUCUGCUCCCACGUCAGGAUGACACUAGAUCCUUAAGUCGUGACCUCACUCAGGCAUCUGUCCUUGGGUCCUGUCUGCUUCUGAGCUGAGAGCAAAAGCAGAGACAUAGUACCUGGAUACCCUUCCCGGCGACUGCAAAUCACAGAACAGAUGCAAAAAUGAAGCCUGGAGAUGAUUCUGUUUUUUGCUCGCUGGCAGAUGGCAGGAGGAAGACUCAAGCCCAGAAAGUCUGGCUGGCUCCAGAGCUGCACUUGACCUGGCAAACUCAAAGGAAGGCAGGAAAAAGUCACCCAGAGGCUGUGGGGCCGAGUCAAACAGCCAGUCAAGGCCACAGGAAGAACGAUGGAGGGUCAAGACUGUGGGAGUGAGGCUGGAGUGAGGACCGGUGUGGGAGCAAAGGCCUGCAGGCUGGAGCAGAUCCCAGGGGAGACAUUGGGAGAGGAGCUCAGAUCUGAACACGGGACACAUGUGUCCUGAGUUGAGGACAAUGACACUGUACAACAGGAAACAGUCUCCUCAGAUCCCUGACAGUAAUCAGUAUUCACUCAUUCAUUCAUUCACUUCUCCAUCCCUUCACUUGACCUUUAUUUAUCCAGGGAGUCCAACCCCUCAGAGUCUAAUGAGAAAGACAGACAUGUCAGCAGGUCAGGGAUCCCCGAGGUCCCCAAUCACCCAUCCAUCCACCCCAUGUGUAGUGAGUGCCAAGCUCUGAGUUCUACAGACGAGCGAGCCUGACCUUACCCUCCAGGCACUCUGACAAGGGGAGAGGGAGCAGACAGACACUUACAAAUCGCAUGCGUAUGUGUUCAUCGAGUCAAGCAACAUUUGAGAGCCCUCCAUUGAAGGUGCCAGACCAGGGCAACGACCAGGACACAUGCCUGCGCAUGGCAAGCUCAGACCAGUUGAGGACAUGAGGAAAGAGCACAAACACUUCAGCUCCAAUACACAGGCAGCUGUGGAAAAAACUGAGCAAGAAGCAGAAGGGGACAUGCAGUGGUCCCAGAAGAAGUGACCCUGCAUUUGAACUUGCGUUUGUGGCUGUCCUGAUGUCUUUUGCUCCCCAUUCUGGAAGGGAAGACAGGGAAGGGACCAUACCCAGCUACGGACAAUCCCAGUGUUUCUGUGGCCUAGUCUGGUGAAGGCUGAAAGUGAUUUUCCUGAGAGCUAAUCCGCCUGCCUGGCCAUGUUGUGCUCC